GACGAACGCUGGCGGCGUGCCUAAUACAUGCAAGUAGAACGCACAGUUUAUACCGUAGCUUGCUACACCAUAAACUGUGAGUUGCGAACGGGUGAGUAACGCGUAGGUAACCUGCCUGGUAGCGGGGGAUAACUAUUGGAAACGAUAGCUAAUACCGCAUAAUAUUGAUUAUUGCAUGAUAAUUGAUUGAAAGAUGCUAUUGCAUCACUACCAGAUGGACCUGCGUUGUAUUAGCUAGUAGGUGAGGUAACGGCUCACCUAGGCGACGAUACAUAGCCGACCUGAGAGGGUGAUCGGCCACACUGGGACUGAGACACGGCCCAGACUCCUACGGGAGGCAGCAGUAGGGCAUCUUCGGCAAUAGACGAAAGUCUGACCGAGCAACGCCGCGUGAUUGAAGAAGGUUUUCGGAUCGUAAAGCUCUGUUGUAAGAGAAGAACGGGUGUGCGAGUUUAAAGUUCACACUGUGACGUUAUCUUACCAGAAAGGGACGGCUAACUACGUG
rnacentral:rRNA from 1 species